UUACGGUCAAAUCACGCUGAAACACCUGUUCUCGUUCGAUCACCGAAGUUAAGCAUCGUAGAGCCAGGUCAGUACUUAGAUGGGGGACCGCUUGGGAACACCUGGUACUGUAA
rnacentral:rRNA from 1 species